CCUACGGGAGGCAGCAGUGAGGAAUAUUGGUCAAUGGGCGCGAGCCUGAACCAGCCAAGUCGCGUGAGGGAUGAAGGUUCUAUGGAUCGUAAACCUCUUUUAUAAGGGAAUAAAGUGUGGGACGUGUCCUAUUUUGUGUGUACCUUAUGAAUAAGGAUCGGCUAACUCCGUGCCAGCAGCCGCGGUAAUACGGAGGAUCCGAGCGUUAUCCGGAUUUAUUGGGUUUAAAGGGUGCGUAGGCGGCCUUUAAGUCAGCGGUAAAAGCCUGUGGCGUAACCAUAGAAUGGCCGUUGAAACUGGGGGUAUGGAGUAUGUUUGAGGAAGGCGGAAUGCGUGGUGUAGCGGUGAAAUGCUUAGAUAUCACGCAGAACCCCGAUUGCGAAGGCAGCCUGCCAAGUCAUGACUGACGCUGAUGCACGAAAGCGUGGGGAUCAAACAGGAUUAGAUACCCUAGUAGUC
rnacentral:rRNA from 1 species